AGAGUUUGAUCAUGGCUCAGGACGAACGCUGGCGGCGUGCUUAACACAUGCAAGUCGAACGAGAUCCAUGGUGUAGCAAUACACCGGAAGAUCUAGUGGCGAACGGGUGAGGAUCACGUGAGAAACCUGCCCCAGACUUUGGGAUAACAAGUGGAAACGCUUGCUAAUACCGAAUGACGUCGGAGAACCGCAUGGUUCACUGACGAAAGGAAUUCCGGUUUGGGAGGGUCUCGCGGCCUAUCAGCUAGUUGGUGGGGUAAUGGCCUACCAAGGCAACGACGGGUAGCUGGUCUGAGAGGAUGAUCAGCCACACUGGGACUGAGACACGGCCCAGACUCCUACGGGAGGCAGCAGUGGGGAAUCUUGCGCAAUGGGCGAAAGCCUGACGCAGCAACGCCGCGUGCGGGAUGAAGGCCUUCGGGCUGUAAACCGCUUUCAGCAGGAACGAAAAUGACGGUACCUGCAGAAGAAGGAGCGGCCAACUACGUGCCAGCAGCCGCGGUGACACGUAGGCUCCAAGCGUUGUCCGGAUUUAUUGGGCGUAAAGAGCUCGUAGGCGGUUGAGUAAGUCGGGUGUGAAAACUCUGGGCUUAACCCGGAGACGCCAUCCGAUACUGCUCUGACUUGAGUUCAGGAGGGGAGUGGGGAAUUCCUAGUGUAGCGGUGAAAUGCGCAGAUAUUAGGAGGAACACCGGUGGCGAAGGCGCCACUCUGGACUGAAACUGACGCUGAGGAGCGAAAGCAUGGGUAGCAAACAGGAUUAGAUACCCUGGUAGUCCAUGCCGUAAACGGUGGGCACU
rnacentral:rRNA from 1 species